rnacentral:rRNA from 1 species
AUACGUAGGGGGCGAGCGUUGUCCGGAAUGAUUGGGCGUAAAGGGCGCGUAGGCGGCCUGUUAAGUCUGGAGUGAAAGUCCUGUUUUCAAGAUGGGAAUUGCUUUGGAUACUGAUGGGCUUGAGUGCAGGAGAGGUUAUCGGAAUUCCCGGUGUAGCGGUGAAAUGCGUAGAGAUCGGGAGGAACACCAGUGGCGAAGGCGGGUAACUGGACUGCAACUGACGCUGAGGCGCGAAAGUGUGGGGAGCAAACAGGAUUAGAUACCCUGGUAGUCCACACUGUAAACGAUGAAUGCUAGGUGUAGGAGGUAUCGACCCCUUCUGUGCCGCAGUUAACACAGUAAGCAUUCCGCCUGGGGAGUACGGUCGCAAGAUUAAAACUCAAAUGAAUUGACGGGG